AUAAUACUAAACAAAACUGUUAAACUCCUAUAAAUGAAUGUGAAGCGAAGAAUUCUUACAGAACAUCAGUGGCAUUGCCCUCAAGCCAAGAGAAAAUGAGUCAGAAUGCUGCUCACAUUCAUGGCAAAGUAGAUGUUGCUGCCCCUUCGCUUCACACAUUGCCGGCUGUACCACUCUUUCUGCCAAGUGAAAGCAUGGCUUGUAGUUCUGUCUGCUUUCCAAGGGAACACAUUUUUAAUGAAAUGUCAUUUAGGAGUAUUUGUUACUUCCUGUAAAAGCUUCUUUCAUGGUUUUUGUGUGUGGAAGAAAAAAAAAUCAGCCCCUUAAAAUGUUGUAGUUGUAACUGUUCCCAGUACUCAGAACAGUA